rfam:Anolis carolinensis chromosome 4, whole genome shotgun sequence.
GAAAAUAGGUCUAAAUAUCCCAAAAGUUUCACAUUCCAUGUGAUCUUGAAAGCUAAGCGGGAUCAGCCCUGGUUAGUACUUGGAUAAGAGGCCACCAAUGAAUACCAGGUGCUGUAGCCU